AAGAUCGUCUCACGAGUGAGUGCGUGUUCCACUUUCACGUCAUACCAAGUGUGACCAGAUGCGAUAGACGUUCGAGCAGUUUGAGUUCGGGCAAAAUACGCACAGCCCUGUUCCAUUUGAGCUUGCCUAUAGAGGGUGCUCAAUGCAACAGGAUGGGCAAACUAAAAACAUAGAACAUAAUUUAUGUAAAAAGGGACUAUAAAAGAGGCGGAAGGCGUAGAAUCUUUCUCUUUUGUAAAACCAGUGAUCCUUGAAAGAAGUAGUAGUGCGCGCGUGUGUAAAUAAUAGAAGGAUCUGUUAGUCGUUAAAAAUAGUUGUUGUAAUGGUAAAGUAGUACGGUUUUGUGUAGAAUAAAAGCUAUUAGUACGGUUAGUAGUGUCAACAUGUAAAACUUAGCCUAAAUUAAUGUACUACUUAAAUUAUAGUUUAAAUCCUGUAAAACAACACAAGAACAGAAAAACGACAGUAACAAACAAAUUAAAAGUCACCGAGAAAAAGGUCCAUGCCAAAGGGACCUUUUUCUUUUGUACCUUUUUUCCAAGGUCUCGAGAGUGCAGUGCCACAGUGGUGAUUUCCGGGAAGAUUUGGCGAGUGCCCGUUGGCUUGGAUAAAGCAGCGUCAUCGCUGGCCGAAGUGUGGCCGCCAUCUUCCAACACCGAUACGGAAAAGCCACGUCAUCAAUCUCGCAGGGCAACACUCGUUCCGUCCCUGGAAUGAUUUCCGGACUGAAGCGGCUCCGCAAAGAGCAUCAAGCCGGCCAGAUCAAAGCUGAUCGGUCACAUCACCAGAAAACACCGAAUCCAACAAGCAUGCAAGUACCCCCGAAUGU